rnacentral:rRNA from 1 species
CACUCUGGGACAAGCCCUGGAAACGGGGUCUAAUACCGGAUACUGAUCUGCCUGGGCAUCCAGGCGGUUCGAAAGCUCCGGCGGUGCAGGAUGAGCCCGCGGCCUAUCAGCUUGUUGGUGAGGUAAUGGCUCACCAAGGCGACGACGGGUAGCCGGCCUGAGAGGGCGACCGGCCACACUGGGACUGAGACACGGCCCAGACUCCUACGGGAGGCAGCAGUGGGGAAUAUUGCACAAUGGGCGAAAGCCUGAUGCAGCGACGCCGCGUGAGGGAUGACGGCCUUCGGGUUGUAAACCUCUUUCAGCAGGGAAGAAGCGAAAGUGACGGUACCUGCAGAAGAAGCGCCGGCUAACUACGUGCCAGCAGCCGCGGUAAUACGUAGGGCGCGAGCGUUGUCCGGAAUUAUUGGGCGUAAAGAGCUCGUAGGCGGCUUGUCACGUCGGUUGUGAAAGCCCGGGGCUUAACCCCGGGUCUGCAGUCGAUACGGGCAGGCUAGAGUUCGGUAGGGGAGAUCGGAAUUCCUGGUGUAGCGGUGAAAUGCGCAGAUAUCAGGAGGAACACCGGUGGCGAAGGCGGAUCUCUGGGCCGAUACUGACGCUGAGGAGCGAAAGCGUGGGGAGCGAACAGGAUUAGAUACCCUGGUAGUCCACGCCGUAAACGGUGGGCACUAGGUGUGGGCGACAUUCCACGUCGUCCGUG